rnacentral:rRNA from 1 species
UACGAAGGGGGCUAGCGUUGCUCGGAAUCACUGGGCGUAAAGCGCAUGUAGGCGGAUCGUUAAGUCGGGGGUGAAAUCCUGGAGCUCAACUCCAGAACUGCCUUUGAUACUGGCGAUCUUGAGUCCGGGAGAGGUGAGUGGAACUGCGAGUGUAGAGGUGAAAUUCGUAGAUAUUCGCAAGAACACCAGUGGCGAAGGCGGCUCACUGGCCCGGUACUGACGCUGAGGUGCGAAAGCGUGGGGAGCAAACAGG